UAAGACUCGAAAGCUUCUCAGAAUGUUGUUAUAAGCGAUAUUCCAGCGACUGAGGUGUGGGGAGGCACGGCGAGCGGUUACGGAGCUUCGUCAGGCUGCGUUACUGGUUUCCUGGUGUUUGUUCUUGGUAUAGGAGUGGUCUAACUGCUGCCCUCACACCUUGCUCCUUGAUGGACUGCCUGGAACAUGGGUUACUCCUCUCCGUGAUGAUCUUGCUGGUGAAGGCCAUGAACUCCUGGAUGGAGCCCCGCUGGAAGUAACCAAACUGCUGCAGGUCAUACGCAGACUUGAGUGUCCUGGUGCUCUCUGUCCCCUUGUACAGAAUACUGAUGCUGUACAGCUUCACCAUUGUGCC